rnacentral:rRNA from 1 species
UACGUAGGUGGCGAGCGUUGUCCGGAUUUACUGGGCGUAAAGGAUGCGUAGGUGGAAACUUAAGUGGGAUGUGAAAUCCCCGGGCUCAACCCGGGAACUGCAUUCCAAACUGGGUUUCUGGAGUACAGGAGAGGAAAGCGGAAUUCCUAGUGUAGCGGUGAAAUGCGUAGAUAUUAGGAGGAACACCAGUGGCGAAGGCGGCUUUCUGGACUGUAACUGACACUGAGGCAUGAAAGCGUGGGGAGCAAACAGG